rnacentral:rRNA from 1 species
GUACACGCUGUGACUAGCAUAUCAAUAAGCGGAGGAAAAGAAACUAACAAGGAUUCCCCUAGUAACGGCGAGUGAAGCGGGAAGAGCUCGAAUUUGAAAUCUUAAAGGGUUUCCCUUUACGAAUUGUAGUUUAAAGAAGUGUUUUCUGUUGAGGUUUUGGUAAAAGUUCUUUGGAAUAGGACAUCAUAGAGGGUGAGAAUCCCGUAUUUGACCUUUACUUUCAACUUUGUGAUACACUUUCAAAGAGUCGGAUUGUUUGGGAAUGCAGUCCAAAAUGGGUGGUAAAUUUCAUCUAAAGCUAAAUAUUGGCGAGAGACCGAUAGCGAACAAGUACCGUGAGGGAAAGAUGAAAAGAACUUUGAAAAGAGAGUUAAACAGUACGUGAAAUUGUCAAAAGGGAAGCGUUUGACAUCCAGUGUUGUUUUUCUGAAAAUCAAUUAAAGAACUGUUUAUGCUAAGUUGUUUAGACUUUAUCAGCUAACUGUUUAGUUUUGAGCUUUUCUUUAAUGCACUUUUCAGUUAACAAGUCAACAUCAAUUUCUUUUGCUGUAAAAAAGCUUGAGGAAGGUGGCUUGAGAUUCGUCUUAAGUGUUUAUAGCCUCUUGCCUAUGCAGUCGGAGAGAUUGAGGUCUGCAGCGUAGAUCCUUCGGGGCUAAAUGCAUUUGUGCUAAGUUAUAGCAUUUUAUAGACAACUUGUUGACUAUGAUUUGUCUUGUAGCUUACUCGCUUAUGUUAUUUUACCUACGCUUAGGAUGUUGAGUCGUAGAGCACGCAG